UAUAUAUAGGGCGAACUAUCUCAUAGUAUUCAACUCAUGUAUACUAGGUUUUCAUUCAUGGUAUCCACAACCUAAAAUAUCACUAGCAUGCAAGGGUAUGCACAAUCACAUUUAACACCCUAUAAUGCUAUAUCACAAUAUGUAAAUGAUCGAUGACGAUACUCAGACAUAAAGAGUAGCCCGACUGCUUCGGGAUGGCACUCCCCCACCUUGUGGCGAUGCCGUGACUCUUUGACUGCAAUUCGCCGACUUAUCGACGCCUCGUUGGCCUUCUAAGCGAGAACGAAGCUCCGAAGGUCUUCUUGGCGAUAACUUCGCACCUACUCGACGGAUCGACGAACCGUCUUCGCCGACGCGUUCAGAGACCUAGCAAUUAGGUUUGCGACCCAUCAAAUUAGAUCAAAACCCUAGAUUUGCCAAAAUCCCAAAUCGAAGCCCUAGAUCUCGAUACUGGAGAAAUCCGCGGUGCGAGCUUCGAUUUCGAGCUCGAACCUUCUCCCUAGCUUCAAUAGGUUCCAUUUGAACCAAUUCCAAGCUAUAAAACCCUAGCUUCCAAAAUCCGCCAUUAAAGGGUUUGAGGUUUACCUCAAUACCAAGCUCCAAGCUUGAAGAGGGAGAGAAGAAGAUGAUCUUCUUCUUCUUCUUAGUCUUCUCCUUCUCUUUCUCCUUCUUUUCCUUCCUCUCCUUCUUCCUCUUCUCCUUCUCUUUCUUUUCCUUUCUAGAGAGAGAGAGGGAAAGAGUGUGAGAGAGGAAGAGAGCAACUUAGAGGGAGAGGGGUCCCCUAGCCUCUCUUAUAAGCCACUUUGCAAAUAAACCCCUCAACUUUCCACUUAUUACACAGCCUCUCACUGGGCAUUUUCGCAGUGAGGGACCGGUCCCAGGUCGGGGAGACCGGUCCCCGAGAGCUGCACAAUUAGGCAGAGGGGAUUUCGCGUUCGGGAACCGGUCCUUGCCUGAGAGACCGGUCCCCGGGAGACCGGUCCUUGUCCGAGAGACCGGUUCCCGAGAGCAACACUUUCGGGACUUAGCCAAACUUCGGCUUCUCUCGCUGGGCCAACGUUCGGGAACCGGUCCCUGCCUGCCAGGGACCGAUCUCAUCAGAGACCC
rnacentral:lncRNA from 1 species